rnacentral:lncRNA from 1 species
UCCUUCCACUUGAGCGCCAAAUCUCAUUGUUGCGGCUUGCCAUUCAAGAGGGACUCACAGAUGAAGAAAAUGCUCGAUUAUGCCUUGAAGAAUUGGAAGCUCUUGAUGAAAAGAGGCUAGAAGCUCAACAAAGCCUUGAAUAUUAUCAAGAUCGCCUGUCUCAAUCUUUUAACAAAAGGGUACGCCAUAGAUCUUUCCAGGUGGUGACCAAGUUCUUGUGGUCAAAAGGCCUAUUAUUACCUCUCGUCGAUCUGGGGGCAAAUUCUCAGCUAAGUGGGACGGACCAUAUAUCAUACAAGAGGUAUACUCAAGUGGCGCUUAUAAGAUAGUUGACUCGGAAGGUUUACGGAUUGGCCCCAUCAACGUGAAAUUCAUGAAGAGAUACUAUCCUUGAAGAAAACAAACUACGGUCCUUGACGCAGAGCAUAAACUGCAUGUUACUCGUGGCCUGAUAGAGUAUAAACUGUGCACGGUUCAAAAACAAAGUCCUCUAGGUUGAAAACCUCGAAAGAGGCAGCCUAGGAAAAAGUUAGGACAUAAAAAAGUCCGCUAAGUUAAAAACCUCAAAAGAGGCAGCCUAGGAAAAAUUUAGGACGCAAACAAAUCACCCAUUUUGAAAUACGGUAUGACUUGAUCCUCUUCACCGAGGUACGUAGGCAGCUUAGAGUUUCAUUCUAAGUUCAGUCGCUUAAGUUCAAAAGAUACAUAUUGCCCCAAUUUUUGUUCGAAUGAAGUAUGAAGGAACGCAAGACCAAGCUGAAAUGCCAUCCUCAUGUGGAAAUUUGACCUCAUUUGAUUUAAAGGGGGCAACCCUCCAUGGUAAAUUGAUAUCUUUGAUGGGCCGAUUUUAGGAGGAUGUCAAGUAUUUGCAUUGAAGUCUUCAAGUUCGUCGAUCUUCAAGUUGAAGUCUUCAAAUCCGUUGAUCUUCAAGUUGGAAUAUCUAGGCCCUGUAGGUCUUUAAGUUGAAGUCUUCAAGUUCACAAAGUCCUCAAUUUAAAUACUUGAAAUCUGCUAAGUGAAGUUGAAACCUUUGAAUUACCAAAUCUUCAAGUUGAAGUCUUCCAUUUUGAAAGUUUUCAAAUUGAAUCAUCAAAGUAAAGUCUUCAAAUUCGCUAAGUCAAGUUAAGGCCUUCAAAUUAGCCAGAAGUUGAAGUCCCCAAUUCUGCAGAACUGUCAAGUUGAAUCAUCAAGUUAAAGUCUUCAAAUCUACUAAAUCUUCAAGAGAAGUCUUCAGAUAUGUCAAAUCUUCAUGUAGAAGCCUACAAGUCUGCCAUAUCUUCAAGUUGAAAUGUAAAGACAAAAGAUUCUUCGAUUGUGAGGUUAACUUUACUAAAGUAGUAUCUUUGGAAUUGAUUUUUUCUUCUACCUGCCAAAAAAAAAGUAAAAACAUAUCUAUAUAAAGGAGAUCACAAAUUUACCUGCGAAGAUUGAAGUUGAAGAGAUAUUCUUGGUGGUUAGCUUUUGAAAGAAUAAAAUCAUGCUUUAUACAAUCUUUGAUUGAUGUAUCUCGAAAUGAGGACGCGCUUUCAUUCCUUUACGCCAAAAGGUCAAAUCUUUUGGUGGUGAAGUAAAAUCUUCAAGUUAGAUUGUAUAAUAGACUUUGCUUGUCUUCGCCUUGGACAAAGUAUAGUCUUCAGCUUAGACAGUGUAAUGGUCCUAGCCUCGGACAAAGUAAAGUCUUCAGCUUGGAUGGUUGUCUUCGCCUUUGCAAAAUAAAUCAUUAGCUCAAACGGUGUAAUGGUCUUCGCUUCAAAAAAAAUCUUUGGCUUAGGCGGUGUAAUGGUCUAUGUCUUAGAUAAAAUGACGUUAAAUCUUAAAACAAGAUGAAGUCAUUAGCUUAGACGGUGUAAUGGUCUUCGCUUAAGACAAAAUAAAUCUUUGGCCCAGACGCUGUAAUGUUCUAUCCCUUAGAUAAAAUGAAGUUAAAUCUUAAAACAAGAUGAAGUCAUUAGCUUAGACGGUGUAAUGGUCUUCGCUUCAGAAAAAAUAGAUCUUUGGCCCAGACGGUGUAAUGGUCUAUGCCCUAGAUAAAAUGAAGUUAAACAAGAUGAAGUCAUUAGCUCAGACGGUGUAAUGGUCUUCGCUUCAGAUAAUAAAUCUUUGGCAUAAACGAUGUGAUGUUCUUUGCCUAAGAUAAAAUAAAUCUUUAGCUUAGACUGUUAACGGUUAAUGAGUACUCAUCCCCUCACACCCCAAGAAUGACUUCUUCAUGCAUGGAUUCCCUCGUUGAGCAAGAACAUAUUUUUCUCGCUUGACCACAAAAAAAGAAAAAAGGACAACAAAGAAGAAAAACACAUGAAGAGCAAAAGAAAUUACCUUUGCAUCAAUGCUUCCGAGUCCACGAAACUAUAGUCAAAUAGCUUGCAAACAUGAGAAUUGAUACUGAACAAAGAUGUGCGCGUGUGUUUAUAUAGAGAUCUCAAGCCGCUGUUGGAGAAUUAUUUCCCGACGUGGGACUACUGGUAUUGUCAAACUCCAACAAGGAUUUAAAGUGUACGAGCUAAUAUCCUAAUUGAAGUCGGUUACCAUGAGUCGGCGUGUGUUUCAAAAGGGCGCAUUCCUAAUGAAGUAAGAAGACAUAACUUAGCAAUUGUCUACGUGGAAAGAAUUUCUUCCUUUGUAGAAAACAUAAAGUGAAAGUGUAAGUGCCUCGUUACUGCAUGUGAAUGAAGAAAGCAAAUUAAUUCUUCAUCUGAAUUUUGAACGCAAAGAAUGAAGUCGCGUGCAGAUCUUUUGAAAUCAAUGAGCACAACUGGAAAUUUCCUUUAAUUUGACAAUAAGUCAUAUUUAAGCUACAAG